rnacentral:rRNA from 1 species
UUCAUGGAGAGUUUGAUCCUGGCUCAGGACGAACGCUGGCGGCGUGCCUAAUACAUGCAAGUCGAGCGGACCGACGGGAGCUUGCUCCCUUAGGUCAGCGGCGGACGGGUGAGUAACACGUGGGUAACCUGCCUGUAAGACUGGGAUAACUCCGGGAAACCGGGGCUAAUACCGGAUGCUUGAUUGAACCGCAUGGUUCAAUCAUAAAAGGUGGCUUUUAGCUACCACUUACAGAUGGACCCGCGGCGCAUUAGCUAGUUGGUG